rnacentral:lncRNA from 1 species
CUUUUUAAAGUGUUUUAUUUUGAGAUAAGAUCAUGCUCAAAACUUUCCAUGGUCCUGCCUUAGCUCUCCAAAGUGCUGGGAUUACAAGCCUGUUCCACCAGUCCUGGCUAUCUUUCUCCUCUUCACUGUUUUUCACGAAGACAAAAAAGAAAGAAAGAAAGAAAGAAAGAAAGAAAGAAAGAAAGAAAGAAAGAAAGAAAGAAAGAAAGGAAGAAAGAAAGAAAACAAACGAAGACUAAGAGCUCUGUAGGACCUCAGGACAGAGGGCAGAAAAUCUUCAAGUAGGAUGGAUUCUUACAAAGUGCUGGAGCAUUCUUCGGCAGAGAAGAGAGUAUGGAAAUCAUGGGCAGAAUGCCUGUUUCACCAGGUGAUCUCUUCCACACUGCACUGUGAUGCCAUCUGUCAUGAGACUCUCACUAGAGUGUAGCAGAAGCCUGUGACAUGCUUUUAAACCUCCAGAACUGUAAGGAAAGUGGCAACAGAGAAUUUUAGUCCCUCCUGAGCCUGGUGUAGCCAAGGUACGUUCCUGGCAUAUGUGACUGUGAAGAGGUCACCGAAGAGUCUGGACACCAUGCACAACCCCAGUGCUCUGUGGCUGAUCAGACAAUCUGGACUUCUCAAGCAAUGACAGGUAAAGGAACCACCAGGGGGUCAGGGGCAAGCCAUCUGCUGUCAUUUUUAUUUGCAGUAAACCAGAGUCAGGACACACACAUACUGAGCAAGUCCAUGGCACUGUAUGCAGGCAGAGAGGCAGGCUUGAGCAGGCAACUGCCUUUAUAGAACAACAUAUCUGCAGCUGGGGGCAGCGGGGGAAUGGGGGAGCAGGGAAGGAAGGCUCUGGGUCCUGGCACUGUGCUAAUUAGUUACUGCCACGGUCCUGGCUGGUAAAGUCUGCAUUUAUAGGAACUAGAGUUAGCCCUGUGACUGGAGAAGAACAAUAGGUUAGGCCCUUUAGCUUUAACCUGUGCCCAAGGUUACCCCCAAACAUGGAGGGCCAGCUGAGGACCCGAAAGUGGGAGCAGUGCUUUUGCAUUGUGGGAUCAAAUCCUCUCCCAACACAUCGGCAACAGGAAAGGGAAAAAGGGUUGAUACACAGAAAGGAAAAUGUUUACAUUUUGGUUCAGGCGUGUGUGUGUGUGUGUGUGUGUGCCUGCCUGUGUGUACAUGAGUGUGUGUAGGAGUGGAGGGCUCACUGAAGGGUUACAUUGUAGUGUUUCACGCUGACUCCCCCCAGCAGCUGAUUUCUGAGUAUGAUCAAUUCUGCUUUUUAUUAGACCAAAGGGAAGUCAAUUCUUAAGAGGGAAAGAAAGUAGAUUCUUAGCUGAGGGGUUGAGCUGAGCCCUCUUGGGUCAGCAGGCCUGGGGGAACCCUAGGCCUGGUAGAGACCCACAAGGACAGGGACCCUGGCUUCUGUCCUAUGGCUGCAGCAUGUACCCCAGGGAAGGCAAGAUCACUGAAGCAGGAUGGUCUUCAGAGCCCCCUUGUUUGGCAGGUGGUAGAAAGAGAGGUCCCAGCAAGAUAAAGGAUAUAUCCAAGACCACAAGGCCGAGGCAGGACUAUAGCCCACUCCCUGUGUUACUCUUAAACUUCUG